GCAGGCAAACUGCCCGGCUUGGGUUCUAGGUCUCUCUCAGUUCCGAUAUCCCGCAUCUUUAGGACUGAAACACGCCAAAGCCCUGCUUACCUCCUGCUGCUCUACUUCUCUAAGCCCACUAGGGUGGACCCUGGAUUUCAGAUCGUUGACACAGUUUGAUCUAACUACUUGAGGCUUCUCGCUCCGAGGCCGAGCUGUCAGUUACUAACCCCUUUACCAGUCCCCCGGAGCUUCUCACCAUUUGUUUUCAAAUUCUGCAAGGUUUCCGCGCCGCCUUAGAUUAGUAGGUGGGGUACUAAAAAAUGUCUUUCCAAAGUAAAGGCAUGUUGCUAAAAUCCCUUCUCCUUGUUUUGCUUGCUGGAAAGCUUUAGUGUCUGCUCUCCCUUACUCCAGAAUAGUCACGGGUAUGAUUCCAGUCUUUCAGGAGGGAAUUCAUGUAAAGGUUACACGACUCACUGGUUGACUUACCUUCUGCAAAGUAAAAUACCAAACGCAGUUUACCUUGGUUCUUUUUAAUCUAGAGGUAAAAAUCAUUUUAAAGGUUUCAUAUUAGCUAUUUCAAUUGUUAGAAUAGGCAUGUGGAAGGUUUUCUGUACCCUUUGAUACGAGGAAAUAGGACCAACAGUGCAUCUGAAAAGUGGGUGUGCAGUAAGAGGCCGAAAUUCCGGUUGCAUUUUAUUCUGUCCAGCACAAUUUAUGAAUCUGUUAAUUCCAAUAGCCCUCAAGAAUAUAUAACUAGAAAAUGUAAGAGUAUCCAAUAAAGUGUGGGUUCUAGAAAAAUUAGAUUGGCCAAAAUUGGCGUCUUCCUGUUCCCAAGUACCUGUAGAAUUUAUUUUAUUUGUUGAAGAAAUUUGAUGCUAUUAUUAUGCCAUAUGUUUGUACUUUGUAUAUUAUUUUAUAUAAUUUGCUAGUUAUUUUCCCUCAGGAAGAUUUAAAAUACUUCUUUGUUUUUUAGUACUGGACCAGUUGGGUUAUUACAUGUUAAUGAACCAGUCUUUCCUUGCAUUCCUUCCACAUAUUUGGUCUUAAGGCUAAUUUUUUUUUUUUUUUUUUUUUUGGUGCUGUUUGCAAAUAAUUGCUCAAUAAGCAUUGACUAGCAUUAAAUUUUUAUUCAUUUGGUGGUAUCCAAAUCUUGUCCUGGGGAAUAGAACUUGUGGUAAGAUGACAGGAUUGCCAGUUUCCACUACCAAUAUUCGAUGAUCUUUCUAUUUUUACCUGUAUUCCCUGCUUUCUCAUUGUGUAUGUGUGUUUUAACUGUACAGAACUAGAGGGAAUCAGUGAUCGUAUGGCUUAAAUUUGUAUUGUAGAAAAGGAAACUGAGGCCCAAAGUAGUAAAGAGGCCUGUUUAAUCACAGUUAAAUUAGCACCAAAUGAAAACAAAAUUAAGUUUAAAAAAAAAAUUAUUGGCAUAAUGGAGUAGAACCCAGACUCCUGAAUCUGGCUUCAAGCUUCUCUUCCUGCUAUUCAUUUUUUCCACUCCUUUGUUUACCUUUUCCCUCUGCUUUGACAUUGCAGUAGCUUUAGAUCAUCAAGGAUCUCUGACCUAGCCCAGUUUUAUGGGGGGGAUAGAGGCAAUAACAUGUGUAAUAAUUUACAACGUGCUUCUCUGAAGAUGGUACAGGUCCCAUGUUCUUUAAAAAAACAAGCUUCUGACCCAAUGCUGACUGACAGAACUUUCUCAGGUGAUGGAAAUUUUCUGUAUUUGUGCUGACCGAUAUGGUAGCCAUAUGUGGUUCUUGAACAGACUUGUAAUGUGACAUGAUUGAGGAACUGAAAUUUUGAUUUUAUUUAAUUCUAAUUAAUGUAUAAUUAGUCACAUAUGGCUAGUGGCUACCACAUUGGACAACACCACUCUAAAUAUUUGUAGUUUGCCAAUAUGUGAAGAAGAGAAGUGGGUUAAGAUAAAUCCAUUUAAACAUUUUAACUUUUGGCCGAAAGAUUCUUGGAUUAUAUACCCAAACUAGAUUUUUGGGGAAAAAGAGUUUUUUUGGUCAAAUACAUUUGAGAAAAACUGUAUACUCUAGCCUUUUACGUAUGUAACAUGAACUAGCAUUUAAAAAGCUUUGAAAACCCUACAGAAAAUAAACUGGUUUAACUUUGCUUAAUCCAGGCCUUUGCACAUAGUUUGAUACCUUUUUUUAUCCUCUGAACAUCUUUAUUGUUACAGUGGUAUGCAAGAGGCAUGCCUCUGGUAUUAAUGUGAGUUUAAAUCAUGGCUCUAACACUUACUGUGUGACCCUGAACAAAUUGCUUUAACCUCUUUCAACCACACUUUUGCUACCUGUAAAAUGGGGUUGUGGAAUUUCAUUUAUAAGGUUGUUACGUGGAUUAAACAGGACAUUGUGUGAAAGUACUUACAACAGUGCCUGGCUCAUUGUAGGCACUUAGCUAAAACCAGCAUUUAAUGUUUUAUUAUGCUUGGUCCUUGAAACAACUCUAACAUUAAUAAGAAGAGUGGGCAGAUUCUUGUUACUUACAAGGCUAUGUACUUCCUUAGCUUAUUCUCAGAUUUCUGAAAACUAUUUUAACUGUUCUGGGGUAAUUAGUGAUUCACAGGAAAUUGCAAACAUAGUAGAGUCCUUACCUUUUACCAGUUUCCUUCAGUGGUUACGUGUUACAUAACUAUUGUAUAAUACCAACACCAGGAAAUUGACAUUGGUACAAUGUAUAUGUAGCUUUGUGCCAUUUUAUCAUAUGUAGAUUAGCGUAACCACCACUGCAAUCCACAUAAAGAAUUAUUCCACCACCACAAAUUAUGGCCUCUGUCUCUCUACCAUCCCUGUCCCCUGGCAACCACUAAUCUGUUUUUCAUCUCUGUAAUUUUGUCAUUUUGAGACUAUUAUAUACAUGAAAUUAUACAGUAUGUGAUCUUUGGAGAUUGCCCUUUUUCACUCAGCAUGAUGUCCCUGAGAUCCAUCCCUCUAUUACGUUGCUUUAUAGUGUUCCAUGGUAUGGAAGUCCCAUGGUUCAUCUAUUAAAUCAUUGCCCUAUAGAAAGAACGUUUUGGUUAUUUCUGGUUUUGUCCAUUUAUAGAUAAAGCUUCUAUAAACAUUGAUGUUUAGGUUUUUGUGUGCAUGCAACUUUUCAUUUCUUUGGUCAUAUGGUAAGCCACAUCCAUGGAUUCAGCCAACCUGAAAUUGAAAAUAUUAAAAAAAAAAUUGUACUGUACUUGUAUGGACUUUUUUCUUGUUACUGUUCCCUAAACAAUACAGUAUAACAACUAUUUAUAUAGCAUUUACAUUGUAUUAUGUAUAAAAUCAUCUGGAGAUAAUUUAAAGUAUAGGGGAGGAUGUGCAUAGGUUAUAAGCAGUUAGUAUGGCAUUUUGUAUCAGGGAGUUGAUCAUCCUUGGAUUUUAGUGUCCUGGGAGGCUCUGGAACCAAUCCUCCAUGGAUAUCAAGAAUGACUGUGUAUGUUUAUUUUGUUUGUUCGUUUGUUUUUUUAAGAUAUUGCUAAAAUAUUUUCUGGAAUGUCUGUACCAUUUUACAUUCCUGUCAGCAAUAGUAUCUGGUAUUUUCACUAUUUUUAUUUUAGCUAUUUUAAUAGAUGGGUAGUGAUGUAUCAUCAUGAUCUUAAUUUACGUUUCCCAAAUGGCUAGUGAUUUUACACAUCUUUUCAUAUCAUCAUUUGCCAUCUAUAUAUCCUGGUCAGCAAAAUGUCUUUUUAUACCUUUUGCCUAUUUUGUAGUUGAAUUUUGUGUGUGUGUGUGUGUGUGUGUGUGUGUGUGUGUGUAAAGCAUCUGUAGAUCAGUCUGAUUUUUUCAUCUCUUCAGGUCCUUUCCUUCUUUCUGGAAUAUUUUCUCCUAGACCUUUACAUGCCUGACUUGUCUUACUAUUUAGGAAUUAUUCUAAAUGUUACCUCCCAAAAAGAGCUUCAAACUUUGUGCAUCCCACUUAUCAUUACCUGGUACUUUGUUUUUCUUGUACAAUUAGAUCAUAAGAUCCAAGAGGUGCCAGGAACCAUGGCUCAUACCUGUAAUCCUAGCACUUAGAGAGGUAGAGGCAGGAGUAUAGCUUGAGCCCAGGAGUUUGAGACCUGCCUGGGCAACAUAGCGAGACUCCAUACUCCUCAAAAAGGAGGAGAAAAAGAUCCAAGAGAUUAGGGAUUGUGUAUGGCCUUAGCACUAUGGCCUUAGUGCUCAGAAGCAUACCUAGCACUUAGUAGGUUCUUAAAUGUUUGGAUGAAUGAAUGUUUAUAUAAAAAUGGGAUCAGAAUGUACAUGUGUUAAGUGCUCAGGAAAGAAAAGUAAGAUAUACAUCCCUGACCUUAGAUUGAUGACAGUCCAUGGGAGAGGUGGAAAAUUAAAUGUUAAUAACACAGAGUAUAAGUGCUAAGAUGGGGAUACAAAACCAAGGGAUCGUGUGGCAGGAAUAGCUAUCCAGGUUGGGUGGGGAAGAGGAGAAGGCUUUCUGAAAGAAUGACAGUCUAAACAUUUUGUAACCUUCUGAUUUAUCAGGCAGUUUUUCCAUCUAUAAUAUAAUUUAUAGUGGCCGGGUAGCAUUUUAUAAUAUGUAACUAUCAGAGUUUGAUCAGUCCCCUGUUACUAGACAUUUAGAACAUUCCCUGUUUUGUUGUUUUAGAUAAUGCUGUCAUGGAUAUCUUUAUAUAAUCUUCAAUUAUUUUCUUUUUUUUUUUUUAAGAUGGAGUCUUGCGCUGUCCCAGGCUGGAGUACAGUGGUGUGAUC